UACGAAGGGGGCGAGCGUUGUUCGGAUUUACUGGGCGUAAAGGGCGCGUAGGCGGCCGAUCAAGUCAGGCGUGAAAGCCCCGGGCUCAACCUGGGAAUGGCGCUUGGGACUGGUUGGCUUGAGUUCGGGAGAGGAGAGUGGAAUUCCCAGUGUAGAGGUGAAAUUCGUAGAUAUUGGGAAGAACACCGGUGGCGAAGGCGGCUCUCUGGACCGAGACUGACGCUGAGUGAGCGAAAGCCAGGGGAGCAAACGGG
rnacentral:rRNA from 1 species